CCUCAGUAACGGCGAGUGAAGCGGUAACAGCUCAAAUUUGAAAUCUGGCCUCACGGUCCGAGUUGUAAUUUGUAGAGGAUGCUUCGAGCAUGGUCUGGCCUAAGUUCCUUGGAACAGGACGUCAUAGAGGGUGAGAAUCCCGUAUGCGGCCAGGUGCCUACGCUCAUGUGAAGCUCCUUCGACGAGUCGAGUUGUUUGGGAAUGCAGCUCAAAAUGGGUGGUAAAUUUCAUCUAAAGCUAAAUAUUGGCCAGAGACCGAUAGCGCACAAGUAGAGUGAUCGAAAGAUGAAAAGCACUUUGGAAAGAGAGUUAAACAGUACGUGAAAUUGUUGAAAGGGAAGCGCUUGCAACCAGACUUGCGCGCGGCCGAUCAUCCGGUGUUCUCACCGGUGCACUCGGCCGUGCUCAGGCCAGCAUCGGUUUUGGCGGCUGGAUAAAGGCCCUAGGAAUGUAGCUCCUCUCGGGGAGUGUUAUAGCCUAGGGUGCAAUGCAGCCUGCUGGGACCGAGGACCGCGCUUCGGCUAGGAUGCUGGCGUAAUGGUUGUAAGCGGCCCGUCUUGAAACACGGACCAAGGAGUCUAACAUCUAUGCGAGUGUUUGGGUGUCAAACCCAUACGCGUAAUGAAAGUGAACGGAGGUGAGAACCCUUAAGGGUGCAUCAUCGACCGGUCCUGAAGUUUACGGAAGGAUCUGAGUAAGAGCAUAGCUGUUGGGACCCGAAAGAUGGUGAACUAUGCCUGA
rnacentral:rRNA from 1 species